AGAGUUUGAUUAUGGCUCAGAUUGAACGCUGGCGGCAUGCCUUACACAUGCAAGUCGAACGGUAGAGUAGCAAUACUUGAGAGUGGCGAACGGGUGAGUAAUAUAUCGGAACGUGCCCAGUCGUGGGGGAUAACGCAGCGAAAGUUGCGCUAAUACCGCAUACGAUCUACGGAUGAAAGCGGGGGAUCGCAAGACCUCGCGCGAUUGGAGCGGCCGAUAUCAGAUUAGGUAGUUGGUGGGGUAAAAGCCCACCAAGCCGACGAUCUGUAGCUGGUCUGAGAGGACGACCAGCCACACUGGGACUGAGACACGGCCCAGACUCCUACGGGAGGCAGCAGUGGGGAAUUUUGGACAAUGGGCGCAAGCCUGAUCCAGCAAUGCCGCGUGCAGGAAGAAGGCCUUCGGGUUGUAAACUGCUUUUGUACGGAACGAAACGGCGCUUUCUAAUACAAGGCGCUAAUGACGGUACCGUAAGAAUAAGCACCGGCUAACUACGUGCCAGCAGCCGCGGUAAUACGUAGGGUGCAAGCGUUAAUCGGAAUUACUGGGCGUAAAGCGUGCGCAGGCGGUUAUGUAAGACAGUUGUGAAAUCCCCGGGCUCAACCU
rnacentral:rRNA from 1 species